rnacentral:rRNA from 1 species
AUGAACCCUGCUUCGGCUCCCGGUCCGGACAGCUUGCAUGUCCUUUUUUUUCAGGCUUUCUGGUCUACCAUCAGGGAUGACAUCCUAGCCCUGUUCCUCGAUUUUGCUAGGGGAACCCUUGAUGUAGCUCGCCUUAAUUAUGGGAUUAUUUCCUUGAUCCCGAAAGUCCGAGGGGCUUCGGACAUUAGGCAAUUUCCACCGAUUACGAUCCUUAACGUGAUCUUUCGAAUCCUUACUAAGGGGUACGCCACUAGGGUGGACCUUAUUGUGCCUAGGAUCCAUCAUCCGAACCAAUCGGCCUUCACGAAAGGUAGGUUUAUUCUGGAUGGGAUCCUAGUCCUUCAUGAAAUCCUGCAUGAAGUUAGGCAGAAACGCUUCCAUGCAGUCUUCUUUAAGAUAGACUUUCACAAGGCUUACGACUCAGUGCCCGGUCCUUCCUUCGGGAGGUUAUGUUGA